GCCCCUGUAGUUCAACGGAUAGAAUAAAGACCUUCUAAGUCUGAGGUUACAGGUUCGAAUCCUGUCAGGGGCA
rnacentral:tRNA from 1 species